CGCGUAGGCGGGUCUCCAAGUCAGGGGUGAAAUCUUUCGGCUCAACCGGAAAAGUGCCUUUGAUACUGGGGAUCUCGAGGGAGGUAGGGGCCCGCGGAACUUCCGGUGGAGCGGUGAAAUGCGUAGAUAUCGGAAGGAACGCCGGUGGCGAAAGCGGCGGGCUGGACCUUUUCUUGACGCUGAGGCGCGAAAGCCAGGGGAGCGAACG
rnacentral:rRNA from 1 species